rnacentral:rRNA from 1 species
AGAACGAACGCUGGCGGCAGGCUUAACACAUGCAAGUCGAGCGGUUGUAGCAAUACAGCAGUGGCAGACGGGUGAGUAACACGUGGGAACCUUCCUAGGGGUACGGAACAACUCAGGGAAACUUGAGCUAAUACCGUAUACGUCCGUGAGGAGAAAGAUUUAUCGCCCCUAGACGGGCCCGCGUAGGAUUAGGUAGUUGGUGAGGUAACGGCUCACCAAGCCUACGAUCCUUAGCUGAUCUGAGAGGAUGAUCAGCCACACUGGGACUGAGACACGGCCCAGACUCCUACGGGAGGCAGCAGUGGGGAAUCGUUGGACAAUGGGCGCAAGCCUGAUCCGAGCCAUGCCGCGUGAGUGAAGAA